AUUGAACGCUGGCGGCAGGCCUAACACAUGCAAGUCGAGCGAGCGGCGGACGGGUGAGUAAUGUUCGGUUAUCUGCCUGACGGUGGGGGGUAACUACUGGAAACGGUAGUCAAUACCGCAUACCAUCAGAUGUGCCCCGAUGGGAUUAGCUAGUGGGUGGGGUAAUGGCUCACCUAGGCGACGAUCCCUAGCUGGUCUGAGAGGAUGACCAGCCACACUGGAACUGAGGCACGGACCAGAAUCCUACGGGAGGCAGAAGUGGGGAGUAUUGCACAGUGGGCGAAAGCCUGGUGAAGCCAUGCCGCGUGUGUGAAGAAGGCCUUCGGGUUGUAAAGCACUUUCAGCGAGGAGGCGUUACUCACAAAAGAAGCACCGGCUAACUCCGUGCCAGCAGCCGCGGUAAUAC
rnacentral:rRNA from 1 species